CCUAGGGAACUGCUCGUAGCCCUGGUGGGAACUCAUCGCCUUUGGAGUUUCGACAUAAGCAGUCUCGCAUCUGACAAGGCCCAGCUAGGGACCUCAAAACCUGCUGCUAAUUUCACCAUCAAGAGACCAAGAGGAACGACAGACUUGGAAACAGGAUUAAAAGCAGUGAGGACUACGAGGGUGGGAAAUGAGUAAUGGUUGUGGAGUCCCAUUCAAUCAAAGCCGUCAUCCUGAUGAACAAGAAUAAGAGCGAUGCAAGCGUUACAUAAUCUGCGAUUAAGAUGCUUGCACUAGGGCCUGCUUCACUCAAGGAGAAACUCCAGUGAUCUGGACUAUAGACCAGGCACAGAAGGCACACCGCUGCCAGCAGCAUGGCAUCAAAACCAACGCACAAAGGCUGACCUCAACAUUGAAAGAAAAGGCAAGAUCAGGCAACGGUGCUGGGUUUACUAUUAGCCCCAGGUGAAUUAAGCGGUUAAAAAAAUUUUUUACUCACUAUGUAAUGUGUAAGGAAUGCUGAGUCUCUGAAUACCAAUGUAAAAGCAGUUAAGGAAAUUUUGGAAACUCUGCCUUAGUUGACUUCAGGGAAAAAUUAUUUACUAGGGCAAAUGUUUAAUGUAGAUAAAAAUCUCCUGUACUGGAAAAGAAUGCCUGACAGGACUUUCACCUUUAGGAGGGCAUGUCAGUGCUGGGUUAAAGUCUUCCAAAGAGAUCACAGUCUGGCUGGAGGGUACUGAUGCAGGCCACAGGUUGAAACCCUCUGUGUGACCUGUCAUAGGGACUUUGCGCAGGGCUUUCAAGAGUGUCACUGCGCCUUCACUGCAAAUACGCAGCAGGAGUAGCAAGCCAUGGGAACACAGCCCUUCUCCCACAGUGCUCCCCUGAGCUGCCAUGCUGGCCAAAUGGAGAAACAUGGCUUGGAGAAGGCUUUCCUUGGCGCUAAUAAUGUUCCCACACAUUGUCCCCUUAUUGGCAGCACACUCACAUCGCAAUAUCGAAGUCUCUGAAUUGCCCAAGCCACUGCUGUAAUAUAAAGGCACCGGUGCAUUCUUGGGGCAUCAAAGCAUCUAUGACUGCAUCAUGGCUUGCUUGGAGUUGAGGUGUGUAAGGAUGGCGUCUGAGAGAAGACAAGAGAUUUGCCCAUGGUUUUAAAGGGUUUACCAAAGAUGAGGAGCUUGCAAAACUCUAGCAACAAAGUGGACUUGGGCAUGGUUGAGGAUGACAGCUAGGAACUCCUGAGGAAGUGACUAAUGAAGAAUUGUUGGCACAAGCAGAAGAACACAUAGCUGAAUAAGAGACAAGAAAAAAAAAAAAAAGAGAGAGACCAAAGAAGUCAAAAAAGGAGAAGGCGGCCAAGAAGUCACAGAAUUUAAAAGAAGUGUUGUAGCCAUCCGUAAUCUUCAAAAGUUUGGAAACAUGACUGCAAGACCAAACAUUUUCAUGAGUUGAGAGGAAUAUUCAAGGUGUGUUGCCUGUUUAAAAGCAAAUCUGUGACAGGGAAAAGAGGACAACUGAAGCAAAGCAUCAUGGACUGCCAUAAUGUUUUCUGGUGUCUUUAUGUAACAGCAAUGGCUUGGGCAAAGGAAAGAGCAGUGUUUGGAGGAAGAUAUCACUUCAGUAGUGUGCCGUCAGUGCCUUGCCGUUACAGGGGCGAGGUGUGGGCACACAUUAUCAACACUGAGGGAAACCUUGAAAGGUGUUUCUCCAAGCAGUGCUUUGCUGGCAUGGCACUUCAGGAAAGCAUCUUGGGAGAAGGGCUGAGUCACCAUGACCAACUGUUCCUGCUGCACACUGAGAGGACUUGUGCUCCUCAUGAAGCGCACCAGGCAAGGCCUUCGUGAGAGAUUCCAGCAGAAGACAUUGUUGUCGUAGGAGAUGACAGCUCUAUGUGUUAUCACCCUGAAGACCCUCUAGGGAGAAGGUGUGUGAGGUCAAGAAUACUGGCAGUCUGUCCCCGCGGAUCUAUAGGUUUGCAUCUUGAUUGUUAACCAAAAAGUACUAAAAGCAAAAUAGUAAAAAUUAAAAAAAAAAAAAAAAGUUUAGUUGGAUAUGGUGGUUUAUGCCAGUAAUCUCAGCACUCAGGAAGAAGGAUCAGGAGUUCAAGGGUAUUGUUGACUACAGAUUAACUUUGAGGCUAGCCUGGACUACAUGAGAGCCUGGCUCAUUUUUUUUUUUUAACAGAAAAAGAGCUUAUAGAAUAAGGGUGUAAAGAAACUAUUUUUGCGCAACUCUACGCAUUUGCGCUUUUAUCAGUGUUGUAAAAGUUGAAAGUUUAAAAAAGUUUUGGCAAAAUGUACGAAAAGAUGAAUAUUAUUGAAGAAGAAAUAAGUAAAUAAAUAAAUACUAGUGUGAGCUAAUGCAUGUUGUCUGUAAAGUCUAUAAGAGUGCAGGAGUCCUGGACCCCACUGACCCGUUAGGUUUGGCAGCCUCUAAGUUUGAAAGUGCGCCUUCACAGUGACUUUUCUGUUUAUAUAAACACACCCUGGGCCCUGUGUUACAUUUGUUACAUUGUGUUCAUGCUGUACACUUUGUAGCCUAGGGAAAACUAGGCUAGCUCAUGCACUCUAGGUUCUUUAUAGGCUAUCCCAUGUAGGUUUAUAUAAACAUGUUCUGUGAUAGUCAUACAGUAAUAUUGGAUACUAAUGGAUUUCUCACAGUAUAUAUAUAUAUACCAUUUAAUACAUGACAAAACAUUUCAGAAACAGUAAUGUCAGAGGCAAGGGUGAGGAGUAAAUCUAAUGCAGCGUGGAGGUGGGAUGGAGACUCACAUUCUCUGCUCACCCAGCAUGCCCCCACAGCGGCUGGAAAACAGGAUGUUGGUUCAGAGACCGGUGAAGAAUGUUUGCCUCUGAGUCCACGUAGCCCCUGAGCCAAGUCCAGUGAGAAAGUCACUUUUCCAUUUAUAGCACUGGUUCUCAAUCUUCCUAUUGCUGUGAGCCUUUAAUACAGUUCCUCAUGUUGUGGUGACCCCCGAAACUCACAGGUUGAGAACUACUGUUUUAGGGAAUGCUGCAAGGGUACAGAACCACAUCUAGUAAUACAAAGAUAGACUUAAUUCAGUGCGCACAGAUACUCUCCCACACCCCCACAAAAUAUCCAAAUAUGGGCUGGGCUGUGGCUCAGUAAGUAGUAUGGCAGUUGCCCAGCACAUGCUAUGCUCUGGGUUGGAUUUUCAGGGUUGAGAAAGAGAAAAACAAAACAAAACAAAACAUAAUUGCUAUCAAAUAUAGAAAACCUACCUACGAGCUAUCUAUAAACGACACCAUGUGCUUUCCAGCCUCGUAUAAUCACAACCUGAGCCCCACCACUGGUUGAGUGAUUGCUUAUGAUGCUGUUGGGUUGACUUGGGUCAUCGACUACACAGAGGCAACAAAGAGGCAGUCUAAGACCCAGCAUUUUAGAUGGAGAUCAGAAGGAGGCAGGAGAAGAAUUUUAGGGGCAGCUAGUCUACUUACUGAAAAGGGCUGUUUGGAUUUUAAUAGACUUUCCAUGGAAUGUGAGGAUGAAACUUCCACCAAUCUGCUUUGGACACUGCUUUUAAGUAGUUUAGACAUGUCUUAGCUACUCAAUCUAAUUACACAGUAUAAUAUACAAGGGCAUAGGUGUCCCCAGGCUCUGGCAUAAAACCUCGUGAUUAUCAUGUUCAUAGACAAGUAAGGUUAACAGGUUUGGCAUAGUAUGGCAGGUUUAAAAUUAGGGUGUAACUAUUCUUUUGCUACUUUGUGGGUUCUUUCUUUUACCCUUCUCUAUCCCCUUUCUUCUAUCCUUUUAACCAUUUUCUCUCCCUUUCCAACCCACCCUCCCUGCCACCACAACACUAGAUAAGAGAGAAAAAAGGAUAGAGAGGAGAAGAAAGCCUCCACCUUAUUGUUUGAGGCAGGGUCUCUCACUGAACCGGAAGCUUACCAGUUUGGCUGGAUUGGCCAGCCCCAGUUUUCCUGCUGUCUCUGCCUCCCCAGCACAGACUGGGAUUGUGGGCUCAUACCAACACACUCAGCUUUUUUUUUCUUCACCAGAUUCUCAGCUUCUUGAGUGUGUUCUGGUGUCCUGUGUGGGCCACAGAGCAUCAAAUUCAGACCCUCAUACUGCAGCAAAGGCUUCAGCCACUGAGCCAUCUCUCCAGCCUCUCACAAUUUUAUUAAUUACCUAUAAAUCUUGGAUAGAUCUUUAAUUUCAUCUAUUAUUUUUUUUUCAAAAAGUAGAACGGGAAGGCUAAGUAAUGGUACACAGAUAUCUAAGUUCUUAUUUAGUUAUGUGCUUUAUCAACUGUGGCAAUUCUUAUAUUUCCUCAGGCUUUAAAGGUUUAAAAUGAUCCAAACGGAGGCUCCAUGUUUUAACCUUUUCUUGCCAAUUAUAAAAGAUUCCAAUUCAAGCAUUUUAGUAAAGCCUUGGGAUAUCAUUUUGAUCUACUGAUUUCUGCCAAUAAAGAAACAUUAAAAAUGUGGUUCAAGAGAACUGGAAAAACUCAGAUUAUCUGUUUGUCUGUCUGAAGAGAAUUUUGUAUGCCCCUUUGGCUUGGAAGAUAAGUUUCAUCCUAGCAGGUUUACAGGAGCAAUAUCAUAUAAUGUAACAUGUGCCUUUCUGUACAUGACCCCAGUUGGGCUGGUUCAGGACUCUCUCACACUUGAUUUGACACCUCUACCACAGAAAUAACCUGAGAAGCCUAUUGACUUUGUAAAAUGGGUAUAUAGUAUGAGUCUAGUCUUCACCAGAAUUGUGCAGGUACACGUACUCAUUUAUUUUAACUUAUCUUUUUCUAUAGUUAUUUAAAGAUAUUAUGGAAAACAACUCAGCAGGGAGUCCCCGAGUUCCUUGGAGGCUGACUGUCUCAUGUGCUCCCCCUAGUGGAGGGGGCACAACAGUGUACAGUCCAGAAGGAGAGGGCUCAUUGGUAGACUCACGUAAUAGCAGACCAUUUAUCUUCCACCGCCCUGAUUGUUUGCAAUGAAGGUGGAUACCCCGAGAGAGCUCUAUAUCUCUGUCUGUCUGUCUGUCUGUCUGUCUAUCUAUCUAUCUAUCUAUCUAUCUAUCUAUCUAUCUAUCUAGGAAAGAAAAAGAAAAGCAAAGAAAAAAAAAACAGUCUUUCUUAGGUAGGACCUCACAGUAGGCAAGAAGAUCCCUUUGGCCUUGCCCUCUGUAACUGUUGUCAUUGGGGAAAUGUAAUCUGGCAGCCUUUUAUAGUUUUUUAUUUUAGAGUCCUCUCAAAAUGCUCAGCUAAGUCCCACACAUUGAGGGACUGGAAGAUAGCUCCGUUGGUAAAGUGUCCGCUGUGCACUCAUGCAGGUCAGAGGACAACUUUUGAGAUCUCCCUAAAUCAUGUGAGGGCCAGGGAUCGAAUUCAAGUCUUCAGGCUUGGCACCAAGUGCCUUUCACCAGUGAGCCAUCCUGUCAGCCUGACCAAUCUAUUAAAAACCAGAACAAAACAGAAAAAAACCUGUUAAGAUUGAACUGAGAAGUUUUGCUCAGUUCUAGGUUAUAGAGUAAAAGCGGUUAUGCCAUGCAAGCCUGACUGACUGGAAGGUUCACUUUGUAUAGCUCUCCUUUUCAUUAGCUUCAGAAUGCAAAGAAAAUGGUGAGCAGAAAGGUUGAUACAGGAAGCGACUGACGACGAAAUGAGCAGUGUGAUUUAGUCAAAGCUCUCAAUUUUAUAUAUAUAAUGUCCUUGGUUUGCUGCUUAAGAUUUGUUUUUCUGUUGGGGAGAAAAUUUUUGAUCCAGCCCAUCUUUUAGAUGCCUCUGUAUACCAGUUAAAAUGUGCCCUGUUUUUGUGGGGGUUGUCGGUCCAGCUAAUGUGCUCCCAAAGUAAUCAGUUUCAUUGAAUUAAAAUUUCUCCAUAAUGA